CUCUUUUGUUGCAUUCCAUUAUGUAAUACAUAAUUUUAUUGUCAUUUAGUUGGUUUAAUUGAUUGUGAUUUAGGCUACGAUUGGGCUGGUAUGUGCUUGU